rnacentral:rRNA from 1 species
CCUACGGGAGGCAGCAGUUAGGAAUUUUGGGCAAUGGGCGAAAGCCUGACCCAGCAACGCCGCGUGGGUGACGAAGGCCUUCGGGUUGUAAAGCCCUUUUCUGAGGGAAGAUGAUGACGGUACCUCAGGAAUAAGCACCGGCUAACUACGUGCCAGCAGCCGCGGUAAUACGUAGGGUGCAAGCGUUGCCCGGAUUUAUUGGGCGUAAAGGGCGCGCAGGCGGCUACGCACGUCCGUUGUGAAAUCGCUCGGCUCAACUGGGCGGGGUCAGCGGAUACGGCGUAGCUGGAGCAAGCUAGGGGGCAAUGGAAUUCCCGGUGUAGUGGUGGAAUGCGUAGAUAUCGGGAGGAACACCAGUGGCGAAGGCGGUUGCCUGGAGCUUUGCUGACGCUGAGGCGCGAAAGCGUGGGGAGCGAUCCGGAUUAGAUACCCGGGUAGUCCACGCCGUAAACGAUGUCGACUAGGUGUCGGGGGUAUCGACCCCCUCGGCGCCGCAGCACGACAUAGUACGACCGCCGUCGGGACGUACGGCCGCGACGGACGUAAACUACAAAGAAGUAGACGGCGUGAGACGUGCCGAACGGACGACACGAGGGAGGAGG